GACAGAGGGUGCAAACGUUGUUUCGGAAUUACUGGGCGUAAAGCGAGUGUAGGCGGUUUUGGUAAGUCGGAUGUGAAAGCCCGGGGCUCAACCCCGGAAGUGCAUUCGAUACUGCGUGGCUAGAGUACUGGAGAGGAUGGUGGAACUCUGGGUGUAGAGGUGAAAAUUCGUAGAUAUCCAGAAGAACACCGGUGGCGAAGGCGGCCAUCUGGACAGAUACUGACG
rnacentral:rRNA from 1 species